AAAAGGAGAGAAGGCGGGCAAAACGUUGUGCUGUUCGAACAAGAAACUAAAGUGUCUCCUCCAUUUUGAAGCAACCAGGUGUUGACGCAGGUAAAGGAUUAAAACUAACCGAGAUGAAGAUGAUGUCCAGCAUCCUGCUGCUCCUCAUCCUCAGCUCAUGUCUCUGUGCAGCAACAUUUGUAGUGAAUGUGACACAGAGCAGCUAUCAGGCAGAGGAGAAGCAGAACAUCACUCUGGAGUGGACCUUCACCACCAAGACUCAGGGAACCUGGAAGAAUCUGUUCAUCUACUGUGAAGCGAACACGGAUCAUGGAGUCUUAGUUCUCUAUCAGGUUCAUGAUGGAGUUGAGAUUCCAGAGUCUCAGGAUGAUCAGUUUUCAGGACGAGUCCAGAGCAACAAAGACGUCCUCAGAGAAGGACGAAUCAGACUCCAUGUGUCCAGACUGAGGACUGAAGACUCUGGUCUGUAUCUGUGUGACGUGAAAACUGAAGAUGGAUCCAACAAGGCAGGAUGUCGACUCAACGUUACUGAUCCAGUGAAGGUUGUUGGUCAUGAUCCGAUUCAUGCAAAGGUUGGAGACGACGUCAUUCUGCCAUGUCAUCUGGAGCCUCCAUAUUAUUUGACCACAUUUACAAUCGUAUGGAGAUUCAAGGAUGAAAUAAUCCAUGUGCAUCGCAGCCAAACUAAAGAUGAUGGAGCUUCAGAUCCAAAGUACAUUAACCGAACCUUCAUGUUCCCUGAUGAGUUUAAAAAAGGCAACAUUUCCCUCAAAUUGACCAAAGUAACCAAGGAGGAUGAAGGGAAUUAUAUUUGCUUUGUUCCCAAACUGCAAAGUCAAGCCAGGAAGGGAAACGUUACUCUAAUACUUGAUGAAAAUGGAUCCCAAGGCGACUCGACUGAUCCUGGAGGACCUGAUCCUGUAGUUAUUGGUGCUCUUGUUGGUUGGGUUGUUCUAGCAGCACUCAUCAUCAUCAUCAUCAUCAUCAUCAUCAUCAUCAUCAUGAUAUUCUUUGUUGUACGUCGCCGCAAGGUAAGUCAGUCUUUGUCUCUUUAAGUCAUGCAGGAUUUUGUUGAAUUAAUGAUUAUCUCCAUACAUGCAAAUUUCCAGUUUAUAGAUAAUAUAGUUUUUAAUCAUUUCCAAAAACUGAUCUGAAGGUGAAUAGAAGUAAAACUCUUGAUAAACAUGAAUAAGAAAAGUUUCACAUAUUUAUUAAUAUCUAUUGAUGUUUGACAGAAAAGAAAAGAAAACAAGAAACUAAACCAUUAUGAGUUUCAUUUUUUCUCUUUUGGUCUUUAUUGUUUAUUGUAGCUUUUCUGCCUGAUCAGGUUGAUUAAUUAUUUUUACCAGUCAAAAACUGAUAAGGAGAAUUAAAUAUUGUCGCCUCAUUUAUAUUGUGUGUUAAGAUAAAUAUUCACUGUUUACAGUUUUUCCAUGCUGGAGCAAAAACUCUCAACAUGAACGAGGGAGAAAUGAUGAAGAUCGCAGAGAAAAUGUCGACCCAGACGAUGGAGCUGAAGGAAAACCUUUACAGGAUCAAGGAAAACAAAACCAAAGUGAAUCUUCCACCUGAUCUAAAGUCUCUUCAAAGUUUGUUGAGCCCAAAUGAAGACCAGGACCAGACAGAACCCUGCAGCAGUGACCAGGACCAGACAGAACCCUGCAGCAGUGACCAGGACCAGUCAGAACCCUGCAGCAGUGACCAGGACCAGACAGAACCCUGCAGCAGUGACCAACCUGGAGAAUCCAGCCAGGAGACUCCAGGCCCAAACAUCACCAGCAGGUAAGGAGACCAACUGUGACUGCAGAACCAGAGAGACGAGGAAGGACCAUCAUCAUCAUUCAUCACUGUGGGACUGAUAGUAACUCUAAAGGCUCUAAUGAUAAUAUUGAUGUUUUGGUUUAGGAAGAAAAGGAGAAGAAGAAACCAAACUUUUUGACAAAGAACAUUUUUGUUUGAACUUGUUUUGUUUGACAUAUUAUAUUUUAAUAAUGACUUUGAGUCGUUUAUUGAAUAUCUUCAGAUUCAUGUUUUAAAUCAUUUCUGGUCUAUAACCAGAAACAAUGAUCUGUUUUUCUGUUACUCAGAUGAAUUUAUUCCGUUUCACUUCAUGUGUUUAGAGAAACCAGUGGUGACAACAGUGUUAGGAGUUUGUUCUGAAAUUAUCAUGUUGCUGGUUCAAAUCUGCCUCUUUCUUAUUGUCCUUGAGCAAGGCACUUCACCUGCCUUACCUGCCAGUGGCAUCGACCCACAGCAGCUGCUGCCAAAUUGCUGCAGGGCAGCAGAGGCUGUUAUCCAGUAUUGGUCACCAUCAGUGUGUGAAUGGAUGAGUAUGAAUGGAUGAAUGACUGAAUGCAGAGUGAAGCAUUUUGGAUUCAACUGGACUUAAACAGAGCCUAAAAAGUACAAGCCAUAUUUAAUGUUUUAUGGAAAUAGUAAAUUAGAGCUGUAAUUUAUUAUUUAAACAUUCUCGUUAUCAGUGUUGUAUAGUAACAAAGUAAAAUACUUCACUACUUUACUAAAGUAUGUAGCAUUCUUACUUUCCUCAAGUAUGAACAUUUUUGAUAACUUUCACUUUUACUUCACUAUAUUUCUGAACUUAAUUGCUCCGCUUCAUUUUCAAUGUGUGGUUUAGUUACUCGUUACAAAAAAGUGAGAGAGAGAAACGCAAAUGUUUAGACCCAACCUACUGAUCGACUGCAACAAAGUCGGUAGCCGAUUUGCCUGAGUUUGUUCAUCUCCACCAAUAGAUGCACAUGUUUCACUUCUCCCAUUAAUCACCAAGUUUACUAAAAUCUCUCCCUCUUCAGAUGCCAAAUAAGCUGCAUUUCCCUCCCAAUUCUUUUUUCUUUUGUAUAAUGACCAGUUGAUGCACCUAUAGUUUGUGAAGUAGAGGAAUCGUAAAGGUGUUUUUCUUCAUGUUGGCCGCAUUUUCUGUACUGACUAUUUUUCUCAUUUUCAGCACUGACCUUACUGAAAGGGAAAACUUGAGGCUUACAAAACCUUUGUACUUUCUGUCCUUUCUGGUUUACUAAGAAGCUGGUUCAGUUAUGAAGCAGGUUAAGUUAACCUAAAGCAGGUUAAGUUAACCUAAAGCGAGUUAAAUUAACCUUGUGGUUUAGGUAAAGUAAUGUUCUUAACUAAAUGAUGCCUGCAGGUUCAUCUAUUAGCAGGUUUCAUUUUGCCUGCACUUGCUUGCGUACAUUAUUUUAAAUGUAUUUGUCAAGUUUUUCAAAAUUUAAAAAAUGUCAUUCAAACUGCAUUUGCCUUGUUUUACUUUUUACUUGUACUUUUCAUUACAUUACUUGAUUACAUCUAUUUUUACAGUAAUUUUCAUACUUAAGUACAAGAAAUUUCAGAUACUUUAAUACUUUAAAUCAAGUAACAUUUCAAUCAGUGACUUUUACUUUUACCAAAGUCAUAUUUUAGAGAGCUACCUAUACUUUUACUUGACUCGGAGAUUUCAGUACUUUAUACAAACACUGCUUGUUAUUUUGUAACUUAAGGCCUGUGUGGUUUUGCUGUUUCUUUAUUGAUCUCAUAAUCAGUGUGUGUUGGAUCAUUGAUUGUAGAAAAGUUAUAAAUGUACAUUUUGAGGUUUUAUGAAGGAACUGCGAUUCAGUCAAAGUGUCCAAACUUGUUUCUUUAAACUUAGUUUUGCAUAAGUUUAUGUUUUUGAUUAAAUGUGUUUUCUUCAUUUUUGUGUAUUUAAUGAGCCUCAGUGAAAUUCUCACUAUUUACUUGUUUCAACUUUAAUGUCUAAUUAUGAGUCAAUCUGCUCUUUAUUUGGGCUGCAGGUCAAAUUUAUGAAACUGGGAAAAUAGUUUGUCUUUGUUGUUACUGUUGUAUUUACAUAUUUUACA